AUGAUUGCAGUUUGUACCUUUAAAGCGGUGAGGUCACAACUCCAGUGACCGGUGAAUCUGCCUUAAAGCCAAUGAGUUGUUUGUUAUAUUACUGUAACAAUGUGUCCUCACCUUUUGAUGGGGGUCAGUGACAUAACCAACCAAUCAUGAGCUGUCCCUCAGAUGGUGAUGGCACUCCAGCAAGUAGUCGAAUAUUACUAUAGUGUUGUUUAAGCAAAGUUACAGUUACAUAUUUUAUAUAUGCCAAAAGGAGAAUAGAAUAAUAGAAACCAUUUACCCAUUGCUCCAAUUAAACAUAGCUGCCUUGUUUCUCGUUUUAAAGGAAUAUUCAGACGCAAUUGAAGGCAGCGUUCUCAUUCUUUACUGUCUUGAAGUUAUGUUCUAAUACACAUUUUCUUUUGCAAAAAGACAAGUGUCACGAUUCGCUGACAUUUUUUUCUGUAAGUGGCUCACAAAGAUAUGCUUCCUAGCAGAAGCUGCUAAAAAAGAUGUUAUUUCAAGGUAAAGAUAACCAUCCAGCAGUUAGUUGAGAUGGUACCUGCUUUUUUUGACAUAAUUUUUAAAAGAGAUGUUUGAAAAUAUUUCCAUUAUGUUAUAGUUGAUUCCUUCUGUUUGGAAGAGUUAUGGUGUAUAAAUUCUGAGCAAACACUGAGCAAAACUGAAUACUGCUCCUAGGAGAAAUACAGGAUUAGGUUUCUGCCAGCCUCUUCACAUUUUGGUAAAACUAUCAAUACAUAACCUUGUUUUAUGUGUGUGUCUGUUUAAAGACACCUUAUUUAAUGUAUAUUGUUGAUUCAUUAGUUGAACUCAUGGCCAACAGCGCUGUAACUCUUGUGUGAAGGAAGCUUAGCUAGCACAAGUAUUUUCUACGUAAGGCACAUUGCUGCCUUGUGCUUGGGAAUACUAGACAAUGCUAUGUUUGAGGACCAUUUUAAACAGCAAAAUCAUCAAAAAAAAAGAAAAAAGAAGGAAAAGAAAACCCACAAAAUGUGGGAAGUGUAGCAUUACAUAGACCAGGAAAAGGACACUUGUUUACAGUGGGAGACUGGUGUCACCUUGUUCUACCUCAGCUGGGAACGUGCGCGGCAGGCAAAACAACUUUUUUUGCCACUCUACUGUGUCUGCUAAUCGGUGAAAGCAGAGGAUACAUAAUCAAAAUAAUUUGGAGACUACUGCCCUAGAAAGCUGGAAGAUCCCUUUUCUCAGAAAACUGAAAGAAGAAUUUACCCAGAAGCAGCGAGCUGAAUUCAUCAAGCAGAUGGCUGAAACCAAUGGUCCUAUGGUGUCCGUGUCAACUCAGACCCUCUAUCCAGCUCUUGGGAGAUCUGAUUCUCGUUUCUCCAGUGGAUGGUAACUCUGAUUGCAUGCGUGUAUGGGCCCUGUGAGCUCCUUUCUGUGUCUGAGGCAUCUGUGGAGUUUUUGGUAGAAAUUUUAAAAUGCCUGGCAUGCACGUGGGACAAGAAGCUUGAAGAGAGUCAGAGCUUGCGUGGAACUGCUCGUCCUCCCAUGUCAGAGACGUCAGACUAAGGACGAGAAGGGUGACCAAGGACCCUGGGUGCACCUGCUCCCAUACAUAUCUGUAGAGUCACAAACUCAGAGAUAUUUUCCCUAAUAAAAUCCUUGCCUAUCUAAUCCCACGGAGGCCUUGCGGAAUUAAAGAACCUCGGCUAAAAUUGGAGUCAGGACAGGACUGUAGGGGAGCGCACCAUGUGUCUUCAAUUACUCCAAACAGGAAGAGACAAAUGCCCACAUCUGGGACAGGACGAUGCCUCUACCCAACCAAUGAGAAGCCACUAUACUUUGGACUCCCAGCUUCCUCCAGUGGACUCUUUGGUAUCACAGCCCCUCCCAAUUACCCACUUUUCCAUAUAAA